rnacentral:rRNA from 1 species
UGGGGAAUUUUGGACAAUGGGCGCAAGCCUGAUCCAGCCAUGCCGCGUGCGGGAAGAAGGCCUUCGGGUUGUAAACCGCUUUUGUCAGGGAAGAAAUCUUCUGAGUUAAUACCUCGGGAGGAUGACGGUACCUGAAGAAUAAGCACCGGCUAACUACGUGCCAGCAGCCGCGGUAAUACGUAGGGUGCAAGCGUUAAUCGGAAUUACUGGGCGUAAAGCGUGCGCAGGCGGUUUUGUAAGACAGAGGUGAAAUCCCCCGGGCUCAACCUGGGAACUGCCUUUGUGACUGCAAGGCUUGAGUGCGGCAGAGGGGGGAUGGAAUUCCGCGUGUAGCAGUGAAAUGCGUAGAUAUGCGGAGGAACACCGUGGCGAAGGCAAUCCCCUGGGCCUGNACUGACGCUCAUGCACGAAAGCGUGGGGAGCAAACCAGGAUUAGAUAGCCCUGGUAGUCCACGCCCUAAACGAUGUCAACUGGUUGUUGGG